AAAUAAAAACAGGAUCAACAUCCAACCUGCUGUUGACCCCGUGUUUAAAACGUGUUUGCAACACGAUGGAAACAUUCCUGAUUAGGAUGCAUACGCAGCACACAUUUUAAGGGGCCAAAUUAAGGAUCUCGAGAAGCGAUUUCAGAAGCGAUCUUUGGAUACAAAUGCAGCAACGUCAAUCGAAAAUGCUUCACGCUGUAAACACCCAACUUACAAGCAAAGGAGAAGGUAUAUUUAAAUUGACAGCAUUUCUACAAUAUCCAUUCUAAAAGAUGUCCUAUCAAAAGAAGCAACCAAAAGAAAAAUCAAGCUUAUCCUAUCCUAUGAUGUUAUCAAAUAAUCUAAACCACACCUUGAAGCUAAUCCACCCCAAACUAGAAUGCCAGUUGAUUUUGGCUAAAAAGGUCCAGUUAAUUG